CACCUGUUUAUCAAAAACAUGGUUUUAUGAUUAUAUUUUAAGAUCUAUUCUGCUCAAUGAUAAUAGAUUAAUUAUUAAAUAGCCGCAGUAUUCUGACUGUGCAAAGGUAGCAUAAUCAAUUGUCUUUUAAUUAAAGACUGGAAUGAAGGAAUGAAUGAAAUUUAAACUGUCUUAUAAUAAAAAAUUAAAAUUUAAAUUUUAAGUUAAAAUGCUUAAAUAAAAUUAUGGGACGAGAAGACCCUAUAGAAUUUUAUAUAAAUUUUUAAAUAAUUAUGUGAGUAAAUAAUUAAAUUUGAAAUUAUAUUUUAUUGGGAGGAUAAUUAAAUUAAUUUAACUUUAAUUAAUUAAUAAUAUUAAUUAUAUAUAUAUAUAUAUAUAUAUAUAUAUAUAUAUAUAUAUAUAUAUAUAUAUAUAUAUAUAUAUAUAUAUAUAUAUAUAUAGACCAUUAAUUUAUGAAAAAAUGAAUAAAUUUUUAUUAAAUUUAUAUUAGAAUUAAUUACCUUAGGGAUAACAGCGUUAUAUUUUUUAAAAGAUCAUAUUAAGAAAAAUGUUUGCGACCUCGAUGUUGAAUUAAAGUAAAAAUUAAAUGAAGAAGUUUGAUAUUUUAGUCUGUUCGACUAUUAAAAUUUUACAUGAUUUGAGUUCAAAUCGACG
rnacentral:rRNA from 1 species